UACGUAGGUGGCAAGCGUUGUCCGGAUUUACUGGGCGUAAAGAGCGCGCAGGCGGUCGUAUAAGUCGAAUGUGAAAGCCCCCGGCUCAACUGGGGAGGGUCAUUCGAUACUGUUCGACUCGAAGGCAGGAGAGGGAAGUGGAAUUCCGGGUGUAGGUGGUGAAAUGCGUAGAUAUCCGGAGGAACACCAGUGGCGGAAGG
rnacentral:rRNA from 1 species